ensembl:lncRNA
UUUUUUUGUUCUUGAUUUAUUUUACACAUUAUUUUAUUGGCCUUUUUGUGACAUUUUUAUUCGAUCAUUUUUCCGCCAAAAGUGGCUUGUGGACUUCCUUUUUUUAUCUGUUUUUUUCUGAUUUCAUUUGAUGAAUUUAGGUGGUCUAUCCUUAUCUGCAAACCGCAGUUCUCUGAAGACCAGGAGUAUGUUGUGACUUCCUGAAAAUCAUCAAGUGUUUGUUUCAGUGGAUUAUGCUUGAUGCCCAGCCAAUUCAGGAGCAAUUCAAUCUUCAGAAUUUCAGAUGUUGCAUGCAGUGGUGCUGCAGUGUGUCUAACGGAUUUCCAGUUGACUGGCAUGUUUUGACAUCCGUAUAUAUCAGAGACGACAUUGUAUAUCAGAAAAGAAGGGGAACAGCAUUUUUGAAACAUCAUAGUAUUAGCUCUCUAAACUGGAAAUAGGGAUGGAAAUGUGUCCCUCCACGACUCAUCCAGGUUCAGUUGAGUGCUCCUACCUGCCGUUGUACUGGUGCUGAACACAUGUACGCCUGUUGUUCUCCAUGGGCUUUGUACUCAGCAGGAACUCUGAAGCAGCUUACAAUUUCCCAUCAUUAUGAGCAGGUGCUUUAGUCUCGACAGUGGUGUGUCAUUGUCAGCAUGAAAAACGCUGUGGUUGUGUGCUCUGGUGUGGAAAUCGGAGGCUUGCAUGCAAUGUUUGCACAUGUGCAUACACACUUUGACUGUCAACAGCGGUUUGUAUCGUGGAUAAGUGGGAUUUUAGAGGUGUUCAGGGCUCAGAUUAGAUGUUUGGAGGCGUCACUCAAACCUCCAAGCAGUCUUCAUUACAUCUGUUCAGUCAGUCUUCAUUACAGGAAGGAUGUUUUUCCUGAUCAGAAAGAACAGAUCUCUGUAGGUUCAUUGAUGGGGUUAUGUUAUUAAAUUGAAGAGAUGCUUUUUUGGCUUCAGUGAAAGAAGAGAGUUUAUUGUUGUAGCAAAUGCUCUGUCGUCAUUCGCAACAGCAUUUUUGUCUGAUGAAACCCAAAGACACAAUAAAAAGUAAGCUCUAAGCGAAAAGAUGUGACUAUAAAUAAUAUCUCUAAUAGUACUUAAAAUUUCCACUGUCAGCUAUUGACCCGUUACUCUUAAAUUAUGUUACAGGGACACAGAAAAUAUG